rnacentral:rRNA from 1 species
AGAGUUUGAUCAUGGCUCAGAUUGAACGCUGGCGGCAGGCCUAACACAUGCAAGUCGAACGGUAACAGGAAGAAGCUUGCUUCUUUGCUGACGAGUGGCGGACGGGUGAGUAAUGUCUGGGAAACUGCCUGAUGGAGGGGGAUAACUACUGGAAACGGUAGCUAAUACCGCAUAACGUCGCAAGACCAAAGAGGGGGACCUUCGGGCCUCUUGCCAUCGGAUGUGCCCAGAUGGGAUUAGCUAGUAGGUGGGGUAACGGCUCACCUAGGCGACGAUCCCUAGCUGGUCUGAGAGGAUGACCAGCCACUGGUACUGAGACACGGUCCAGACUCCUACGGGAGGCAGCAGUGGGGAAUAUUGCACAAUGGGCGCAAGCCUGAUGCAGCCAUGCCGCGUGUAUGAAGAAGGCCUUCGGGUUGUAAAGUACUUUCAGCGGGGAGGAAGGGAGUAAAGUUAAUACCUUUGCUCAUUGACGUUACCCGCAGAAGAAGCACCGGCUAACUCCGUGCCAGCAGCCGCGGUAAUACGGAGGGUGCAAGCGUUGAUCGGAAUUACUGGGCGUAAAGCGCACGCAGGCGGUUUGUUAAGUCAGAUGUGAAAUCCCCGGGCUCAACCUGGGAACUGCAUCUGAUACUGGCAAGCUUGAGUCUCGUAGAGGGGGGUAGAAUUCCAGGUGUAGCGGUGGAAUGCGUAGAGAUCUGGAGGAAUACCGGUGGCGAAGGCGGCCCCCUGGACGAAGACUGACGCUCAGGUGCGAAAGCGUGGGGAGCAAACAGGAUUAGAUACCCUGGUAGUCCACGCCGUAAACGAUGUCGACUUGGAGGUUGUGCCCUUGAGGCGUGGCCUCCGGAGCUAACGCGUUAAGUCGACCGCCUGGGGAGUACGGCCGCAAGGUUAAAACUCAAAUGAAUUGACGGGGGCCCGCACAAGCGGUGGAGCAUGUGGUUUAAUUCGAUGCAACGCGAAGAACCUUACCUGGUCUUGACAUCCACAGAACUUUCCAGAGAUGGAUUGGUGCCUUCGGGAACUGUGAGACAGGUGCUGCAUGGCUGUCGUCAGCUCGUGUUGUGAAAUGUUGGGUUAAGUCCCGCAACGAGCGCAACCCUUACCUUUUGUUGCCAGCGGUCCGGCCGGGAACUCAAAGGAGACUGCCAGUGAUAAACUGGAGGAAGGUGGGGAUGACGUCAAGUCAUCAUGGCCCUUACGACCAGGGCUACACACGUGCUACAAUGGCGCAUACAAAGAGAAGCGACCUCGCGAGAGCAAGCGGACCUCAUAAAGUGCGUCGUAGUCCGGAUUGGAGUCUGCAACUCGACUCCAUGAAGUCGGAAUCGCUAGUAAUCGUGGAUCAGAAUGCCACGGUGAAUACGUUCCCGGGCCUUGUACACACCGCCCGUCACACCAUGGGAGUGGGUUGCAAAAGAAGUAGGUAGCUUAACCUUCGGGAGGGCGCUUACCACUUUGUGAUUCAUGACUGGGGUGAA